CCAGGACUUACCCUGAAAAUAUGGCCAUGACAGAGAUUCUGACUUCAAAGGAGCAUUUGUCUUGUGUGACAUCGUUCUGGCUGCCUUUUGGUUCAGAGGCACGUGCUCAGAGUUUAGUGAAAUGCUCACCAAAUCUGCUAGCAAGCCAGGCAUUCCAACCUUCUGAGAAAUCACCAUUGUUUUUCCCAGAUUUAAAGGGUCUUUCAGAGAUGCCUACGUGAUGGUGAAACAAAUGAACUCUGAUAUAAGGGGAGGAAAGAUGGCAAAGGGAGAAUACAAGAAGCAAGACGGAUGGAGCCAAGUUCGUGAUGCCUGACUUCAUACAUGGGGAGAAGAGAUGCCAAAGAGGAGACAGGAGGAAAGAUAAGUUGUGAACGGUGAAUGAAAACCGUGGGGGAGAAACACUGUAUGUUUCCUCUGAAGAAAUUUAUAUGGAGCCCUGUUUAUACACUGUCUUCUAAAGAAAUCAUGUUAUUUCAGUUCUCAUUUUAUGAGAAAACAAGAAGUUUUGUGAAACAACAUAUACAAAUUUUGGAUUUUUUUUUUUUAAUGGGGCUAGGGAUUGAACCCAGGACUUUGCACAUGUAGGCAAACAUUUCCCACUGAGCUCUCCUCCGCCCUAUACAACUUCUAAUAAUAGGUAAUUCCACAUCAACUCCCACUCUUAACCACAAUAGUGAGGGCAGUUCAUUCAAAUAUUUGCUGAGUGCUUCUGUGUGAGGUGCUGAGGCACAAACAUGAAAGUGAUACCCCAGAGGACCUGGCAGUUAGUCCCCUAAAAAACAGAGCUUCUCCGAGAUGUCCAAACUGGCCAGAGGUGGGUCUGU